ACUCAAAUGAAUAGACGGGGACCCACACAAGCGGUGGAACAUGGGGUUUAAUUCGAUGGUAAACGAAGAACCUCACCCAGGCUUGACAUCUCGGGAAUCCGGCCGAAAGGUUGGAGUGCCGCAAGGAACCCGAAGACAGGCGCUGCACGGUUGUCGUCAGCUCGUGCCUUGAGGUGUACUGUUAAGUCAGCGAACGAGCGCAACCCUCAUCUUAUGUUGUUUUUUCAUAAGAGACUGCCGCCUCCAAGGCGGAGGAAGGUGGGGAUGACGUCAAAUCAGCGUGGCCUUUAUGCCUGGGGCUACACCCAUGUUACAAUGGCCGAUACAAAGGGUAGCCAAGCAGCAAUGCGGAGCUAAUCCCAUCAAAAUCGGCCUCAGUUCGGAUUGUCGGCUGCAACUCGCCGGCAUGAAGUUGGAAUCGCUAGUAACCGUAGGUCAGCGAUACUACGGUGAAUAAGUUCCUGGGUCUUGUACACACCGCCCGU
rnacentral:rRNA from 1 species